GCGUGAGUGAUGACGGCCUUAGGGUUGUAAAGCUCUUUCGCACGCGACGAUAAUGACGGUAGCGUGAGAAGAAGCCCCGGCUAACUUCGUGCCAGCAGCCGCGGUAAUACGAAGGGGGCUAGCGUUGUUCGGAUUAACUGGGCGUAAAGGGUGCGUAGGCGGGGUUUUAAGUCAGGGGUGAAAUGCCGAGGCUCAACUUCGGAACUGCCUUUGAUACUGGAACUCUUGAGUCUGGGAGAGGUGAGUGGAACUGCGAGUGUAGAGGUGAAAUUCGU
rnacentral:rRNA from 1 species